rnacentral:sRNA from 1 species
GCGGAGGAAAAGAAACCAACAGGGAUUGCCCUAGUAACGGCGAGUGAAGCGGCAACAGCUCAAAUUUGAAAUCUGGCGUCUUCGGCGUCCGAGUUGUAAUUUGCAGAGGGCGCUUUGGCAUUGGCAGCGGUCCAAGUUCCUUGGAACAGGACGUCACAGAGGGUGAGAAUCCCGUACGUGGUCGCUAGCCUUUACCGUGUAAAGCCCCUUCGACGAGUCGAGUUGUUUGGGAAUGCAGCUCUAAAUGGGAGGUAAAUUUCUUCUAAAGCUAAAUACUGGCCAGAGACCGAUAGCGCACAAGUAGAGUGAUCGAAAGAUGAAAAGCACUUUGGAAAGAGAGUUAAAAAGCACGUGAAAUUGUUGAAAGGGAAGCGCUUGCAGCCAGACUUGCCUGUAGUUGCUCAUCCGGGUUUCUACCCGGUGCACUCUUCUACGGGCAGGCCAGCAUCAGUUUGGGCGGUUGGAUAAAGGUCUCUGUCAUGUACCUCUCUUCGGGGAGAACUUAUAGGGGAGACGACAUGCAACCAGCCUGGACUGAGGUCCGCGCAUCUGCUAGGAUGCUGGCGUAAUGGCUGUAAGCGGCCCGUCUUGAAACACGGACCAAGGAGUCUAACAUCUAUGCGAGUGUUUGGGUGUCAAGCCCGAGCGCGUAAUGAAAGUGAACGGAGGUGGGAACCCUUCGGGGUGCACCAUCGACCGAUCCUGAUGUCUUCGGAUGGAUUUGAGUAAGAGCAUAGCUGUUGGGACCCGAAAGAUGGUGAACUAUGCUUGAAUAGGGUGAAGCCAGAGGAAACUCUGGUGGAGGCUCGCAGCGGUUCUGACGUGCAAAUCGAUCGUCAAA